UUAGGAAUAUUCGGCAAUGGAGGAAACUCUGACCGAGCAAUGCCGCGUGAGUGAUGAAGGUCUUUGGAUUGUAAAACUCUGUUGUAUGGAAAGAACGACUAGGUUAGGAAAUGAACUUAGUGUGACGGUACCAUACCAGAAAGCCCCGGCUAACUACGUGCCAGCAGCCGCGGUAAUACGUAGGGGGCGAGCGUUAUCCGGAUUUAUUGGGCGUAAAGCGUGUGUAGGCGACUUGUUAAGUUUAAGAUAAAAGCCCGAGGCUCAACCUCGGUUCGUCUUAAAAACUGGCAGGAUUGAGUGUGGUAGAGGUAAAUGGAAUUUCUAGUGUAGCGGUAAAAUGCGUAGAGAUUAGAAGGAACACCAGUGGCGAAGGCGAUUUACUGGGCCAUUACUGACGCUGAUGCACGAAAGCGUGGGUAGCAAAUAGGAUUAGAUACCCUAGUAGUCCACGCCGUAAACGAUGAGUACUAAGUGUUGGAAUUUCCAGUGCUGAAGCUAACGUAUUAAGUACUCCGCCUGAGUAGUACGGUCGCAAGGCUGAAACUUAAAGGAAUUGACGGGCACCCGCACAAGCGGUGGAGCAUGCUGUUUAAUUCGAAGAUACGCGAAGAACCUUACCUAGACUUGACAUCCCUGGCAAAGACAUGGAAACAUGUUGGAGGUUAACCGGGAGACAGGUGGUGCAUGGUUGUCGUCAGCUCGUGUCGUGAGAUGUUCGGUUAAGUCCGAUAACGAGCGCAACCCUUAUCCUUAGUUGCUAACAUUAAGUUGAGAACCCUAAGGAGACUGCCGGUGACAAACCGGAGGAAGGUGGGGAUGACGUCAAAUCAUCAUGCCCCUUACGUCUAGGGCUACAGGCGUGCUAUAAUGGCCGAUAUAAUGAGUCGCAAAACCGCGAGGUGGAGCCAAUCUUAAAAGUCGGUCUCAGUUCGGAUUGAAGUCUGCAACUCGACUUCAUGAAGUUAGAAUCGCUAGUAAUCCCGAAUCAGAAUGUCGGGGUGAAUACGUUCCC
rnacentral:rRNA from 1 species